rnacentral:tRNA from 1 species
AGCGCGGUAGAGCAGCUCGGUAGCUCGCUGGGCUCAUAAUCCAGAGGUCGCGUGUUCGAAUCACGCCCGCGCUAC